UUGAACUGUGGCGUGACUUAU
ensembl:piRNA 21ur-2230 ncRNA